ensembl:lncRNA
AUAUUGAGCAGUUAUUAGCCUUCAGAUCCAGAAUGUUCCAGAGGACUUUAUCACGCAAAAUGCAUUGUGACCAAGACUAAACAGUUCUCUCAUGGAUAACGGUCAAAUACUGACCCGGUCACACAGUUAGGUCUCACAAAAAGAAGUCUGACUUUUAGUUUUUAGUAAAACUUACAUUCAAUUUUAAUAUGUUAUGCUUCAAAAACAUAACAUGUACUUAUCUGUCGAGCGAUCUACCACUAAAACAUUUUAUAUAUGUAUCCUUUAUCAAGGUUAUAGUAGAACCAGGUUAAAAUAGGACCAGGUUAUAGUAGGACCAGGUUAUAGUAGGACCAGGUUAUAGUAGGUCAGAGUACCAAGGGAUGUAGGACAAGGUUAUAGUAGGACCAGGUUAUAGUAGGACCAUGUUAUAGUAGGACCAUGUUAUAGUAGGACCAGGUUAUAGUAGGACCAGGUUAUAGUAGGACCAUGUUAUAGUAGGACCAGGUUAUAGUAGGACCAUGUUAUAGUAGGACCAGGUUAUAGUAGGACCAGGUUAUAGUAGGACAGAGUACCAAGGGAUGUAGGACCAGGUUAUAGUAGUACCAAGGCCCAACUCAGGCCUACAUUCAAUCAGAUCAGCGUUAAAGCCAUACUGCCAAUUUCUGGCAUUUUUUCUGCUUCCCCAUGUAGCUCCCUUCAGUAACCACGAGCACAACCGUUCCUUGAUUUUAACUGGCGGCUUUAUUCUGUAGUUUUAGUCAGAAUUAUCACCUUCCGUGAGAACUAUAAAGUAAAUGAAAAAUAC